CCUACGGGAGGCAGCAGUAAGGAAUAUUGGUCAAUGGACGCAAGUCUGAACCAGCCAUGCCGCGUGAAGGAUUAAGGUCCUCUGGAUUGUAAACUUCUUUUAUUUGGGACGAAAAAGGGCCUUUCUAGGUCAACUGACGGUACCAGAUGAAUAAGCACCGGCUAACUCCGUGCCAGCAGCCGCGGUAAUACGGAGGGUGCAAGCGUUAUCCGGAUUCACUGGGUUUAAAGGGUGCGUAGGCGGGUAGGUAAGUCAGUGGUGAAAUCCUGGAGCUCAACUCCAGAACUGCCAUUGAUACUAUUUAUCUUGAAUAUUGUGGAGGUAAGCGGAAUAUGUCAUGUAGCGGUGAAAUGCUUAGAUAUGACAUAGAACACCUAUUGCGAAGGCAGCUUACUACGCAUAUAUUGACGCUGAGGCACGAAAGCGUGGGGAUCAAACAGGAUUAGAUACCCUGGUAGUCCACGCCCUAAACUAUGAUUACUCGACAUUUGUGAUACACAAUAAGUAGUCUGAGCGAAAGCAUUAAGUAAUCCACCUGGAAGUACGUCCGCAAGGAUGAAACUCAAAGUAGUAGUAGGACGNGUGAGAGCGACGGAGACACCGAGGAGGUUAGG
rnacentral:rRNA from 1 species